rnacentral:precursor_RNA from 8 species
AUUUGGGAACGGACAAUGGAUGCCUGGCUCCAUCUUACAAGGCAGUUUUGGAUGUUAUAUCUUCUCUAAUACUGCCUGGUAAUGAUGCAGAUGGUCAUCUAGAGGCAACUUUGCAUCUG